CAGCAGCCGCCGCGGUAAUACGAAGGGGGCUAGCGUUGCUCGGAAUGACUGGGCGUAAAGGGCGCGUAGGCGGUUUGUACAGUUGGAUGUGAAAUUCCUGGGCUUAACCUGGGGGCUGCAUUCAAUACGUGCAGGCUUGAGUGGGGAAGAGGGUCGUGGAAUUCCCAGUGUAGAGGUGAAAUUCGUAGAUAUGUGGAGGAACACCAGUGGCGAAGGCGACUCUCUGGUCUGUAACUGACGCUGAGGAGCGAAAGCGUGGGGAGCGAACAGGAUUAGAUACCCCCGUAGUCCCUGUCUCUUAUAC
rnacentral:rRNA from 1 species